GACGAACGCUGGCGGCAUGCCUAACACAUGCAAGUCUAGGGGUAGCAAUACCACUGGCGCACGGGUGAGUAACACGUAGGUUAUCUGCCCCCAUCACAGACAUAACCCCGGGAAACCGGGGCUAAUAUCUGAUGAGGUCGCGAGAUCAAAGCUUCGGCGGAUGGGGAUGAGCCUGCGGCUGAUUAGCUAGUUGGUGAGGUAAUGGCUCACCAAGGCGACGAUCAGUAGCUGGUCUGAGAGGACGAACAGCCACACUGGAACUGAGACACGGUCCAGACUCCUACGGGAGCAGCAGUGAGGAAUAUUGGUCAAUGGGAGCAAUCCUGAACCAGCAAUGCCGCGUGUGGGAUGACAGGGC
rnacentral:rRNA from 1 species